rnacentral:rRNA from 1 species
AUUGAACGCUGGCGGCAGGCCUAACACAUGCAAGUCGAGCGGAGCGGCGGACGGGUGAGUAAUGCCUAGGAAUCUGCCUGGUAGUGGGGGAUAACGUCCGGAAACGGGCGCUAAUACCGCAUACUAUCAGAUGAGCCUAGGUCGGAAUGGCUAGUUGGUGGGGUAAAGGCCUACCAAGGCGACGAUCCGUAACUGGGCUGAGAGGAGGAUCAGUCAAACGUGAACGUAGACACGGUCCGUACGACUACGGGAGGCAGCAGUGGGGAAUAUUGGACAAUGGGCGAAAGCCUGAGCCAGCCAUGCCGCGUGUGUGAAGAAGGUCUUCGGGUUGUAAAGCACUUUAAGUUGGGAGGCGUUACCAACAGAAUAAGCACCGGCUAACUUCGUGCCAGCAGCCGCGGUAAUUC